ACAUGCAAGUCGAGCGGUAGAGAGAAGCUUGCUUCUCUUGAGAGCGGCGGACGGGUGAGUAAUGCCUAGGAAUCUGCCUGGUAGUGGGGGAUAACGUUCGGAAACGGACGCUAAUACCGCAUACGUCCUACGGGAGAAAGCAGGGGACCUUCGGGCCUUGCGCUAUCAGAUGAGCCUAGGUCGGAUUAGCUAGUUGGUGAGGUAAUGGCUCACCAAGGCGACGAUCCGUAACUGGUCUGAGAGGAUGAUCAGUCACACUGGAACUGAGACACGGUCCAGACUCCUACGGGAGGCAGCAGUGGGGAAUAUUGGACAAUGGGCGAAAGCCUGAUCCAGCCAUGCCGCGUGUGUGAAGAAGGUCUUCGGAUUGUAAAGCACUUUAAGUUGGGAGGAAGGGCAGUUGCCUAAUACGUAACUGUUUUGACGUUACCGACAGAAUAAGCACCGGCUAACUCUGUGCCAGCAGCCGCGGUAAUACAGAGGGUGCAAGCGUUAAUCGGAAUUACUGGGCGUAAAGCGCGCGUAGGUGGUUUGUUAAGUUGGAUGUGAAAUCCCCGGGCUCAACCUGGGAACUGCAUUCAAAACUGACUGACUAGAGUAUGGUAGAGGGUGGUGGAAUUUCCUGUGUAGCGGUGAAAUGCGUAGAUAUAGGAAGGAACACCAGUGGCGAAGGCGACCACCUGGACUAAUACUGACACUGAGGUGCGAAAGCGUGGGGAGCAAACAGGAUUAGAUACCCUGGUAGUCCACGCCGUAAACGAUGUCAACUA
rnacentral:rRNA from 1 species